AUCCUAAUGAGGAGGAUUGACCUCAUGAUAGGAAGUGCCGUAUGACACUUAACAGCAGCUGUUUCACCCCAUCACGAUCUGUUCUGUCUCCUAUUCUUAACCCUUUAUCUCAGAUCCAAUUGUACGUUGGGUUUGUUUUUUAAGGGAAGUUGAAACAGAAGUACAGAUGCAGACGUUUUGGGAUUUCUGGAUCAGCUGUGUGUGUGAUUUUAAAUGGGUCACUGAGGGAU